CUCUGGGAUUCCUGGGGAGUUGACAGUUGAGGCUGAGCUAAGGAAUCUGUUAGGUGUGAGACUUGCAUGUGGCUCCAUAUGCAAGAAAAGAGGUUAGAGAAGCAGGAGCUUUGAGCAAUGGAGAUGUGAGAGCAUCUGCAUCAUGUACUGGCUGUGCCGAGCCAGCCUUGGCAGAGGUUGCUCUUCUGUGUCCAGUCAUUACAAGCUGAAACUCAAUUGUCAGUGAUGGACACCUACUUCCUGUUCUUUUGGAGUACGGGAAAAAUUUCAGACAUCAGAAAAGUUGCACAUUCACUUGAGUUGUGUUCACAGUAGUGGUGUUUCAGCUUCUCCUGAUGAGCUGGAGAAGGUUUGCAGACCCUGCUUUGCAGAGAUGGCUGUAGAAGUUGUGAUCCGGACAACUGUUCAAAUUUUUCAGGAUACACUGUAAAAAGCAGCAAAUCAAUGUACCUGGUGAACAAGAAGACAUGUGAGGAGCAUGUUUGGCUGGAGCUCUCAUACUGCACCUGUGGGACYCACCUGUGGUGGAAAUGGAGACCAGACCAACAUCCCUGUGCAGCCUUUCUUCCACCUGGCAGCCCACUGGAUUGGGGACAGGGAUGUUAUCUGACUGGUCAGCAAUGGCAGGAGAAAGGUGACCAUGUAUUUCUGAUGGAACUACUGUGAUGGUUAAGUGAACUGGGUAAGCCCUUUGGCUGAGAUGGUGCAAAACGUAAAAACCAAUGAACUGUUUUUCAGAAAGGAAGUUUCUGGUCUUGAGCAGCUUAUGGAAAGCAGGUGAUACCAUGGUGUGGUCUAGAAAUGAAUGUAUUCACAGGGUAGUUCUUGUCAACUGGAGUUUAAUUUGAGAGAAACCUCCCAUCAAAGUGAGUAAUUGCUCAAAUAGUGAUACGAAUCACCCCAUUAGCCCCUGGAAGUAUCUCCUAAAAAGCCAGUGGAGCCUCCAUGGCUAUAAGAACUUCUCAUGAAUGAUACAACUAACACAUCCUAAGCUUAAAAAUAAUAUGAAAUGGUACCCUGCAGUCCUUUAUUCUUGUGACAACUGCAAGUCUUUGAUAUUGUUUUCUGGCUUGGGAAAGCUGAGAAUAAAGGAUUGGAGUGUUCUGCUCUCAGUGUACUGUUUAUAAGCCCAGAUAUGUCAGUGUCAAAGCAUUUUGAAGGGUUUUUAACCUGCUUAGUUUUCUGUGUGUUCCUGAAAAACAAAGCUAAAAGUAAAAGAUCACUGAGGCAAGUUUUGAUAUAUAUAUUCUCACCAUUUUUUUAUGUCUUGAAUACUGAUUUGUUAGUACAGACUUACUUAUAAUCCUGUACUUGUCACCAAGAUGUUUUGUUCAUCAGGUUGUAGAGGAAAUGAGUCUUGUUUUUUAUAAAAAAAAGUAAAUUGGCAGAUGUUUGCAUUGUGAAUUCUGAGACAUUUCUUCUUAAACUUUUUUUAUAACACUAGUUAAGAACUCUUGAUCUUGCAUCACUGGCCUUCUGAAAUCUUGUUGAACCUACCCAGUUAUUGUUUCUUUCACCCAUUUAAAAAGGUAGUCAAUGUUCCCUCUGACUUAAAUAGACUUGCAGAUGGACAGCAGUUUUAAAUAGCAAACCAGUAAGUUUUUCAGCAAUUUAUUUUCCCCUUUGAUUUUUCCUAGUCUUUUGUGAAACAUUAUUUUGGCUUCAGAUAUUCGCUGUUGGCUUGGAUUCCCUUUCCUUCCCAGGGGAAAGCAUUAAAUUUCUAGCCAACUUCAAUAUCUCCUUUGAAAGGUAUAUUUUAAUGCUCUAGAAUAAAUUAACUUAAUCAUCAGAAUAUGGAAGAGUUCUAUCAGCUCCACUUGGAUCCAUUAUUCCACAUUUAUAACUUGUGUCUUCAUCYUUGUUUCUCUCUUUAGAGCACAGAUUUUUAUUAUAUUUUCUUUAGCCUUUUUUUGUUACUGCAUGCAAAUAUGUCUAGAAGAUAUUGGGAUUAAUUUUGUAUGCUGAUUAAUGCUGUAGUUAGUGGGUGGCAACACUUGUAGCUGCAAUGAGAAUUGUUCCAGAACACUGGUGGCACAACAAAAUGCUAAAGAUUUUUAUGUCUAAACUGAAGAUAUAUCUGAAAUGAUAAAGCAGCAGUAUUUAUCAUGCAAUAUAUACCCCAUUUUGGGAACAUMUGGCAAGGAAAAGAAGAAAAGGUUGGCUAUGGUAAAAUAGUGUGAUGCUAUAGACAGUAUUUUGGAGAGGCAAGUGAGGGUUUUUAUGCCUUUUGCUUUUAUGAUGCUCAGGCUUUCAUGUAUCAGGARGAGCUUUUGAUCUUGUUUCUCCUCUUGACAUACAAAAGUGAUUAACUAAACGUGCUUGAGUACCUUAAAAGUAAGUUCAGACUGUAAAAUUAAAAAAGGUAAGUAUUUAACAUCAGAGUUGCGGGUUUUGACAUACAUCAAGAUAGAGAUAGAAACCUCUAGUGUGUUCCUGAGAUCUCUGUGCCCUUACAUAAUUAUCUACAUCUCUGAUCCCUGAGCUGUAACCUUUUACAAAAACCUGAAGUUCCUGGUGUCCUGCCUGUAUAGCUCAAGGUCAGCAGCUCUCUGAACACAGGGGACGUGAAGACAGGUUUAAGUUCCCUAAGAUUUUGUUUCUCGAUAGAAACCUUCCUGGUUUAACCUCAAUAGGACCAGCCU